rnacentral:rRNA from 1 species
AUUGAACGCUGGCGGCAGUCCUAACACAUGCAAGUCGAACGAGUGGCGGACGGGUGAGUUCUGUCUGGGAAACUGACUGAUGGAGGGCGAUAACUACUGGAAACGGUAGCUAAUACCGCAUACCAUCAGCUGUGCCCAGGUGGGAUUAGCUAGUUGGUGGGGCAUCGGCUCACCAAGGCGACGAGCCCUACAUGGUCUGAGAGGAUGACGAUCCACAGUGGAACUGAGACACGGUGCAGACUCAUACGGGAGGCAGCAGUGGGGAAUAUUGGACAAUGGGCGCAAGCCUGAUGCAGCCAUGCCGAAUGUAUGAAGAAGGCCUUCGGAUUGGAAAGGACGUUCAGUGGGGAGGCGGUACCCGCAGAAGAAGCACCGGCUAACACCGUGCCAGCAGACGCGGUAAUAC